CGCGAGUCGCGGGGUCUCGAGGAUGCCCGCGGGCGCAGUGAAAGUGAAACGUCCGGGAGAGCGUUCCGUAAAGGGUCGCUGCACCGGGGGCCCGUGGGAGUCGCCUUUGUGCGUUCGCGCGGAGCCUGAGCGUACGCGCUGGGACCCGAAAGAUGGUGAACUAUGCCUGGGCAGGGCGAAGUCAGAGGAAACUCUGAUGGAGGCCCGCAGCGGUUCUGACGUGCAAAUCGAUCGUCGGACCCGGGUAUAGGGGCGAAAGACUAAUCGAACCGUCUAGUAGCUGGUUCCCUCCGAAGUUUCCCUCAGGAUAGCUGGCGCGAGGUCCGGCAGUCUCGUCCGGUAAAGCGAAUGAUUAGAGGGUUCGGGGUCGAAACGACCUCGACCUAUUCUCAAACUUUAAAUGGGCGAAGAGCGACGCCCUUCUUGCGAGAGGGUCGCGUGGAUGUGUGCGUGCCUAGUGGGCCACUUUUGGUAAGCAGAACUGGCGCUGCGGGAUGAACCGAACGCCGGGUUACGGCGCCGGAUGCUUGACGCUCACGAGACCCCAUGAAAGGCGUCGGUUGCUCUAGACAGCCGGGCGGUGGCCAUGGAAGUUGGAAUCCGCUAAGGAGUGUGUAACAACUCACCGGCCGAAGCAACUGGCCCUGAAAAUGGAUGGCGCUGUAGCGUCGGGCCCAGCCCCGGCCGUUUGCGCGGAGUUCGUUGUGUUAUUGCGCGACGAGUAGGAGGGUCGCGGCGGCGAGCUUGGAAGGUGUCGGGCGUGGGCCCGCCUGGAGCCGCCGCCGGUGCAGAUCUUGGUGGUAGUAGCAAAUACUCGAGUGAGAGCCUCGAGGACCGAGGUGGAGAAGGGUUCCGUGUGAACAGCAGUUGAACACGGGUCAGUCGGUCCUAAGGCAUGGGCAAAGGCCUUUGUUGAGUGGCGUCUGAGAGCGCCGCGUUGCCGAAAGGGAAUCGGGUCAAUAUUCCCGAACCCGGAUGCGGAGAGGGCCCUUUUUGCGGGCCGGCGCGGCGACGCAUUCGAUCUCGGAGACGUCGGCGGCAGCCCCUGGGAGAGUUUUCUUUUCUUUGUAAGGUCGGCGGUCCCUGGAAUCGGCUCGUUCGGAGAUAGGGAGUCGUCGUCCGUAAAGCGCUGCGGCUCUUGCGGCGUCGGGAGCGCUGUCGCCGGCCCUUGAAAAUCCGAGUGAGGCGUGACGAUUCUCGCGCCGGUCCGUACCGAUGUCCGCAGCAGGU
rnacentral:rRNA from 1 species